GGCUCUCUAGCUCAGUUGGUAGUGUGUGGUGCUGAUAACGCCAAGGUUGCAGGUUUGAUCCACGUAUGGGACA